AGAGUUUGAUCAUGGCUCAGAAUCAACGCUGGCGGCGUGCCUAACACAUGCAAGUCGAACGAGAAAAGUGGAGCAAUCCAUGAGUAAAGUGGCGACCGGGUGAGUAACACGUGACCAACCUGCCCUCGAGUGGGGAAUAACCCCGGGAAACCGGGGCUAAUACCGCAUAACAUCGCAAGAUCAAAGCAGCAAUGCGCUUGAGGAGGGGGUCGCGGCUGAUUAGCUAGUUGGUAGGGUAAUGGCCUACCAAGGCGAAGAUCGGUAUCCGGCCUGAGAGGGCGCACGGACACACUGGAACUGAAACACGGUCCAGACUCCUACGGGAGGCAGCAGUGGGGAAUUUUGCGCAAUGGGGGAAACCCUGACGCAGCAACGCCGCGUGGAGGAUGAAGUCCCUUGGGACGUAAACUCCUUUCGACCCGGACGAUACUGACGGUACGGGUGGAAGAAGCACCGGCUAACUCUGUGCCAGCAGCCGCGGUAAUACAGAGGGUGCGAGCGUUGUUCGGAAUUAUUGGGCGUAAAGGGCGCGUAGGCGGCGCGGUAAGUCACCUGUGAAAUCUCCUGGCUCAACUGGGAGCUUGCAGGCGAAACUGCCGUGCUGGAGUGUGGGAGAGGUGCGUGGAAUUCCUGGUGUAGCGGUGAAAUGCGUAGAUAUCAGGAGGAACACCUGUGGCGAAAGCGGCGCACUGGACCACAACUGACGCUGAGGCGCGAAAGCUAGGGGAGCAAACAGGAUUAGAUACCCCCGUAGUCC
rnacentral:rRNA from 1 species